UGCUAGAGCUCUGAGGAAGGGUUUUGCACCUCCCUCAUUUUCUCUCUCUAGGGUUUCUCUCUCCUCGAGUAGAAAUCGCCUAUUCGAGCUUAUUUCACGCCGCGCGCGUUACUCGCUGGUUUGGAAACUCAAGGAAAGCUUUUGGAACGUGGGGAGGAGGAUAUUUACUGACUUUUCUGAGAUUUUAACACCAGAAAGAGCUGAGUUGCAGCUUUUGAAAGCUGAGUUCGAGGGCAAUUUCAGCAGCUAAAGAGAGGUUAUUUAGCUGUGAUUGAACCAUCUUAGACCAGGGAUAAGCUGCUCCAAAGUUGGACAAAGCAGGUUUGCGGAUUAAUUUAAGCUUAAUUGGUGACCUUGGGGACUGGUUAAAGGGUGUUCCAACUAAGGCGGGCUUGCAACGGACUUUCGGAGUAUCUCCGGCUGAUGUGUAAAGGCUUUUAGAAGCUUAACUUGAGCAGAGUUGGGACUCCGUUGAGUAGAGUUUCGGGACUUCUUGUGGCUGGAUUGAGCUUCAUAAUAGAGCCUUCCACCCCGGGAAAGGCUAGGGUUCUUGGCGAGGGG